rnacentral:misc_RNA from 1 species
AACUUUUGGCAAUGGAUCGCUUGGCUCUCGCAUCGAUGAAGAACGCAGCGAAAUGCGAUAAGUAAUGUGAAUUGCAGAAUUCAGUGAAUCAUCGAGUCUUUGAACGCACCUUGCACCACUUGAUAUCCCAAGGGGUACACCCGUUUGAGUGUCAUUUUAAUCUCACCUCUUUGGCUUUUUGUCGAUCAGUGUGGACUUGGAUGCUGUCGUGUAACAAACGGCUCGUCUGAAAUGCCUGAGUGUACCCUGCUUUGCGGCGUAUUCGGUGUGAUAAACAUCUUCUCUGGAGUUGACUUUCGGGUCACGCUUGUACUGAUUGGCUCUAUGCUUCUAACCGUCCUGACAAGGCAAUCUUUGACAAUUUGACCUCAAAUCGGGUGGGACUACCCGCUGAACUUAAGCAUAUCAAUAAGCGGAGGCU